rnacentral:lncRNA from 10 species
CUUGAGCCCAGGAGUUCGAGAGCAGCCUGGGAAACAUAGUGAGAUCUCAUUUCUACAGGGAAAAAAAAAAAUUAGCUGGGCAUGGUGGUGUGUGCCUGUGGUCCCAGCUACUCAGGAGGCUGAGGUGACAGGACCUCUUGAGCCCAGGAGGCCGAAGCUACAGUGAGCCAUGAUCAUGCCACUGCACUCCAGCCUGGGGGACAGAGUAAGACCCUGUCUCUAAACAAACAAACAAAUAAAAGGAAAACUUGGCAGGACAUGGUGGCUCAUGACUGUAAUCCCAACACUUUGGGAGGCCAAGGCAAGUGGAUCACGAGGUCAGGAGUUCAAGACCAGCCUGGCCAAGAUGGUGAAACCCUCUCUUUACUAAAAAUACAAAAAUUAGCUGGGCGCGGCAGCAGACACCCGUAAUCCCAGCUACUCGGGAGGCUGAGACAGGAGAGUUGCUUGAACCCUGGGGGCGGAGGUUGCAGUGAGCCAAGAUCACACCAUUGCACUCCAGCCUUGGCAACAGAGAAGACUCCAUCUCAAAAAAAAAAAAAAAAAAAGAAAAAAAAGAAACCUUAACAGACCAUUGUUUGCCAUAUCCAACAGGGAGUGAUGAAAAACCCAAUAAAACCAAACAAUGUUAUUAAAUCAAAAAUUAAAAACAAAAUGAAAUACAGGUACCUAAAAAAUAAGUUCCCAAAGAGAAGAAUGGGCCUUUUGUUGCUUAUGCAAUAACGACCUGUAGUCAUUGCUAGUACCCAUAACCUUUAACUUUAUGCCUGAAAAGUCCAUUUUAAUCACUUAAGAUUUAAUCACGUGAUCUCAUUUUCAUCACAGUGACUCUAGAAGAUGCAAUGAUGGCAAGGGGCUUGGGUUCUGGUGCCACAGCAGAACUGGGGCAAAACCCCCCGCAACCUGCACCUUGGGCCUCCCGGGAUCAAUGGCUAGGCCUCACCACAGCACAGGGUCCUAAAGGGUCUUGGGGUCACUUGCUGAGAUGAUUUUUUUUUUUAACUUUUUGUUGUCAACUUAUUUACUUCUCUGCCAAUAUUCAAAUAGGUAAGCAUUCAUAAAACAGCAAAAAAAAAAAAAAAAAAAAAAAAAAAAAAUUCCUCUAGAACGGCCAAAGAAUCUGUUCUACUUUACUUUUUAGAAACCUGGAAACCAGGAGCUCUGGCAUUUGUGGAAUAGCAGCAUUGAAAAUAUCUACGAUAGGCUGGGCUCAGUGGCUCAUGCCUGUAAUCCCAGCACUUUGGGAGACCGAGGUGGGCGGAUCACCUGAGGUCAGGAGUUUGGGACCAGCCUGGCCAACAUGGUGAAACCCCGUCUCUACUAAAAAUACAAAAAUUAGCUGGGUGUGGUGGCGCACACUUGUAAUCCCGGCUACUCAGGAGGCUGAGGCAGGAGAAUAGCUUGAACCGGGGAGGCGGAGGUUGCAGUGAGCCGAGAUCAAGCCACUGUACUCCAGCCUGGGUGACAGAGUGAGACUCCGUCUCAAAAAAAUAAAAAAUAAAAAAAACCUCCUAUAUCAAAAAUAUCAUUUGAUGAUCAUUACUACAUAAGAGCUUUGUUCACAGUGUUGGGAUAAUUGCAGAUUCACAUGUGGUUAUAAGGAACAAUACAGAGAUGUCCUGUACUCUCAACCCAGUUCCCCUCAAUAGUCACAUCUUGAAAAACUAUCAUAGUACAAUAUCACAACCAGGAGACUGACAGUCAUCUGGUUCACUGACUGCAUUCAGAUGUCCCGGGUUUUACUUGUAUUCAUUGUGUGUGUGUGCGCACACACACGUGUGCACGUGUGCAUUUAGACAUGAAGCAGGAAAACAAAGUGAUAGCAAAUUGUAACGUGCUAUAAAAAAGUAAAGGUUUUAAAACAUGCUGGGGCCCUAUUAAAUCAGACUGUCUGGGGUGGCGCCUGAGCUUUGGGGUAUUUCCAAGUGGUUUUAAUAGACAGCCAGGCCUGGGUAGCACGGCCUUAGCCUUGGAGCCCUGCCCUCAUUCCUUCUCUGGGGGUCUCACUCUAUUGCCCAGGCUGGUCUCUAACUCCUGGGCUCAAGCGAUUCUCCUCUCAGCCUCCCAAAGUGCUGGAUUACAGCCGACGGCCACCGCACCUGACCCAGUGGUCACCUUUCACUGUCCCCCUUGCCCACUCUGUCUCAGACACCCUGGGCUCCGGGCUGUUACCUGAAUUGUCCUUUCCCCAAGCUGGGCUGUUGCUUCCCAUCUUUCAGGUGUCUGCUUGGACGCCACCUCCUCAGAAAGGAGUAUUUUACGCCAAUGCUCAGGCCAUCUUUGGUGGGUUCCGAGCAGGGGUGACCAGGGAUUGCCAGUGUGCCACGGGGUCCCACUGCCCCCAUUCAUCUCCCAGCCUCUUGUCUUCACAGUAGUUCUCUGUAGAUAUGGGGGCAGUGGUUGAGGGGUGCUUUCCACAGAAUAUGGAGCCAAAGCCUUAAAGCAAGAGCCCCCCCAACCCCCAAACCUCCCAAGGCCCGGGCUCAGCACUCCUGGGGGAGGGAGGGGUCUGUCGGGUACAGGAGAGGAUUGAUUAGAUAAGGCAGAAUCGCAAAUGCGUAGAGCUCUCCCUCUGCAGUGUCAGUGUCCCUGGAGCACAUCUGACCCCAUCAGGCAGGAAGUCUCCACAUGGUGAGAGCACGACUUUAACCUCUCCUGAACCCUUUCUAACCUCUCUUCUCACCUUUGAUAAGUAUAUCUACCCAGAAUGGAAUACAUUUUGUUUUUAUUUCUUGUAUAGCUCUCUUUUAUAUAUGGACACUGAUUUUCUGUAUAAGGUAAUGAUAUCAACUUUCCUUUAUAAAGAAAUUGGAGGAGUUGAUUAAACAAUUUUUUUUAAAAUUUAUUUUUGAUCUGAGUGUCUCAGGUUGAACAUGUUGCCCAGGUUGGUGUCAGACACCUGGGCUCAAGCAAUCCUGCUUCAGCCUCAGGGAUUAUAGGCUCGUGCCUCUACGCCCCGCAGAAGUUGAUUUUAUCACUAUGAAAUCGAUAGAAACCCAGGCGGUUCAGGGAUGCAGCAACAUUGUAACAGUCUAUGUACUGGAUUCAGGUCUGCAGAUUAGGUCCUGGCAUCACUUGGUUGGAAUUGCAGACUGCUGUCCUGCUCUCCCUGCAGGCUGGAGCGACCUGGAGUCAACUGUUAGCCAGGACAGGGGUCUCCGUGGGCUUCGACAGGGCCCUUGAAUUCAAGGCUGGGUCAGCCGGUGGGAGUCAUUCUCUUGCCCCUUUGCCGGGGCUCAGCCAAUAGGACUCCCUGCCACCUGUCAUCUGUCAGCACAGCUCUAAGGAACCUCUUCAGCCCUGCUUCUUAGAGUGGUACUGGGUCCUGACUGCACCCUGCUGUGGUGUGGUUCACCUUCUGGAAGCAUCAGACUUUCUGAAGAAAAGCAAUUUAAGUGGCUAUUUGAAGCCGUAUUUUUAGAGGAAAAGAUGUGGAGCAGAAUGCAACAUUCACAUUCAGCUUAACCUAAAAUUCUUAAGCUUUAAACUCUGCCCCUGGAUCCCAGGGGGGUCCGCAUGCUGUGUCCUCUAGCUUUGGGGGUAUGUUGGUGGACAACUUGAGACACUGUCCACCAGUGCAAAUGGCACUGUGGUUUUCUGUUCCUAGGGCCAGGCUGGAAAGCUCUGAAAAUAACACUGCACUUGGCAGGGCCAGGCACGGUGGCUCACACCUAUAAUCCCGACACUUCAGGAGGCCGAGGCAGGCGGAUCACUUGAGCCCAGGAGUUCGAGACCAGCCUAGGCGACCUGGUGAAACCCCAUCUCUACUAACAACAACAACAACUUAGCUGGGCGUGGUUGCUCAUGCCUGUAAUCCCAGCACGUUGGGAGGCUGAGGCGGGCGGAUCACUUGAGUCCAGCAGUUCGAGACCAGCCUGGGCAACAUGAUGAAACCCCAUUUCUAAUAACAAAAAACAAAAACAACAACAGCAACAAAAACUUAGCUGGGCGUGGUGGCUCACGCCUGUAAUCCCAGCACGUUGGGAGGCUGAGGCAGGCGGAUCACUUGAGACCAGCCUGGGCAACAUGGUGAAACCCUGUCUCUACAAAAAAUAGCUGGGCGUGGUGGUGCACGCCUGUAGUUCCAGCUACUUGGGAGGCUGAGGUAGAUCACUUGAGCCUGGGAGGUUGAGGCUGCAGUGAGCUGAGAUUGAGCCACUGCACUCCAGCCUGGGCGACAGAGUGACACUGUCUUAAAACAGAAUAAAACUUUUGAAAAAGCACCUGGCAUGUAGAGAACCCUUAACACACCAAUGCCGUUACCCUCCCUCCCGUUGGACCAUGUAAAUACCUAUUCAUGCAAAGUUCCGC